AGCGGUAAUAAGUAAGGUGGCAAGCGUUGUCCGGAUUUUAUUGGGCGUAAAGCGAGCGCAGGCGGUUUUUUAAGUCUGAUGUGAAAGCCUUCGGCUCAACCGAAGAAGUGCAUCGGAAACUGGGAAACUUGAGUGCAGAAGAGGACAGUGGAACUCCAUGUGUAGCGGUGAAAUGCGUAGAUAUAUGGAAGAACACCAGUGGCGAAGGCGGCUGUCUGGUCUGUAACUGACGCUGAGGCUCGAAAGUAUGGGUAGCAAACAGGAUUAGAUACCCUGGUAGUCCAUACCGUAAACGAUGAAUGCUAAGUGUUGGAGGGUUUCCGCCCUUCAGUGCUGCAGCUAACGCAUUAAGCAUUCCGCCUGGGGAGUACGGCCGCAAGGCUGAAACUCAAAGGAAUUGACGGGGGCCCGCACAAGCGGUGGAGCAUGUGGUUUAAUUCGAAGCUACGCGAAGAACCUUACCAGGUCUUGACAUACUAUGCAAAUCUAAGAGAUUAGACGUUCCCUUCGGGGACAUGGAUACAGGUGGUGCAUGGUUGUCGUCAGCUCGUGUCGUGAGAUGUUGGGUUAAGUCCCGCAACGAGCGCAACCCUUAUUAUCAGUUGCCAGCAUUAAGUUGGGCACUCUGGUGAGACUGCCGGUGACAAACCGGAGGAAGGUGGGGAUGACGUCAAAUCAUCAUGCCCCUUAUGACCUGGGCUACACACGUGCUACAAUGGAUGGUACAACGAGUUGCGAACUCGCGAGAGUAAGCUAAUCUCUUAAAGCCAUUCUCAGUUCGGAUUGUAGGCUGCAACUCGCCUACAUGAAGUCGGAAUCGCUAGUAAUCGCGGAUCAGCAUGCCGCGGUGAAUACGUUCCCGGGCCUUGUACACACCGCCCGUCACACCAUGAGAGUUUGUAACACCCAAAGUCGGUGGGGUAACCUUUUAGGAACCAGCCGCCUAAGGUGAACAAAGAU
rnacentral:rRNA from 2 species